rnacentral:rRNA from 1 species
GACGAACGCUGGCGGCGUGCUUAACACAUGCAAGUCGAACGGUGAGGCCCUGCUUUUGUUGGUGGCUCGAGUGGCGAACGGAUGAGUAACACGUGAGUAACCUGCCCUGGACUUUGGUAUAACUUCAGGAAACUGGGGCUAAUACCGGAUAGGAGCUCCUGCUUCAUUCUGAUGGUUGGAAAGGUUCGGCGGUUGGUGCUGGACGCGCGGCUUAUCAGCUUGUUGAGGGGGUAGUGGCUUACCACGGCUUUGACGGGUAGCCGGCCUGAGCGGGUGACCGGCCACAUUGGGACUGGGAUGCGGCCCAGACUCGUACAGGAGGCCGCAGUGGGGACUAGUGCGAAAUGGGCGGAGCGCUGAUGCAGCAACGCCGCGCGCGGGAUGACCCCCUUAGGGUUGUAAACCGCUUUUGCCUGUGUCGAAGCGUGGGUGACGGUAGUGGGUUAAGAAGCGCCGGCUAACUACGUG